GACCAGUCUAUUUAUUUAGUUAGCUAAAUAAAUGUGAAACCAAAACAAUGUAAAAACUAAACUAAAAUGUAGUGUUACAUUUGUUUAUUUGCACUAAUACGUGUUGAAGGCUUUUUAAAUACUGUUUAGCCAGUGUCCUAUUUUGCGAUUUGGGACACAGCCACAUAUUCACCAUACACAUAAUUUCUCUACACAUCUCCUUGUUUAUGAUACUUUAAAUAAAGUUUAUAUCUAUAACGCUAGAUAUGUAUUUUUUCUAUAUAAAACAACAGUAUAAAUACUAUACUAUACACACGAAUCGGGAUAAUUUCGUUUAGGCUUCAUAGGAACUAAUCAGCUUUAAUAUUGUAGCUGGUCGGACACAUUUAUUUGUGUACCCAUAGGACGCUGAGAGAUGUAUUAUUUUUGAGUGUAAAUGUUUUUUAAACCUCCUGGUUUUCAGUCUUUCUGCUGUAAGCAAGGGUAAGAAUACAUCCAGAAAGGAUGAUGCGCUACUGGGGUGAACUCCCAGUUGCAUCCGCCCCUCCAGGCCGGAGCUCCUUUGACCUUUUACAAAGAGAAUUUCGCCAAGUAGAGAUGCAAGACCCUCCGCUGCACCAGCCAUCAGCACAGCGGCCGCGGCCCACCACCAUGCUGGACAUCCCCUCAGAGCCCUGCAGCCUCACCAUCCACACAGUGCAGCUCAGCCAGCACGCCCGGCGCCUCCGCAGCCUCCUCACCGCAGCACAGCUCGGCCAGCAGCCUCUGGCAGCUUUAUCAGACGCGCAGGGCCUGCUGAGACCAGAGGACGGGGAUUCACUGCCCCCACGGCCGGUUACUCCAGCAGUACCUGACGAUCUCUUGCCUCUGGACAGUAAAGCUCCCUGUGAACCCUUCCAGCUCCGGCACAGCGACCCAGAGAGCCACUUCUACAAAGGUGAAGGGGAGCCGGUGACGGAGUUGAGCUGGCCCUCCUGCCGUCAGCUCCUCUACCAGUCGGUUGCUACAGUCUUGGCUCACGCUGGCUUUGAGUCUGCGACCGAGAGCGUGCUGGAGACCCUGACUGACCUGGUUCAUGAGCACUACCUGCGGCUGACCCGGCUCCUCCGGGUGGCGGUGGACCGCGAGGCUCGUCUCGGCUCGACCGCCUUCCCCGACGUGGUGGAGCAGGUCUUUCAUGAGGUGGGCAUUGGAAGCGUGCUUGCCCUGCAGCGCUUCUGGCAAGUCCGCAUCAAAGACUACCACAGCUACAUGCUGCAGGUGAGCUAUAUUUUAUACUGUAUAGAUUAAAACCAAAUCAAUUUAAUAUAUAUAUAUGCUGUCUGUUCGACGCCUGGGGGGAAAAGUUGGGUUUUGGAAUAGAGUUUUCUGACUUUUACAUUUCACUUCAGUAAGAAAUAUAUGAGUAUGAAUGUGAUGUGUUUGAAAAUAAUUAGGGCUUGUUUUGCUAAACUCUUGUAUGUUUAUUAAAGUUUGUUUUUUGAAAACUGUCAGAUUGUAAUACAGUGCAGCUUGUAGUGCGAAAAAUACGACAAUUAUUUUAUGUUCCCACAAUUUUAUUGUUGUUUUUUUUCUUCUUCCAAGUAUCGUUUUGGUAUCGAGAACGUGAUACUACAGAUGGUAUUGGUAUCGAAGUCCAAAUUCUGGUAUUGUGAAAACCCUAGUCAGAUAUUUGCUUUGUUCAAAUCCUGUGGGCAGUGUGCCAAGUCCUGCUGGAAAAUGAGAUCUAGUCAGAUAUUUGCUUGGUUCAAAUCCUGCAAAAUUGUUUACAAAGCAAAUAUUGAAAAUCUGAAAGGAUUAAAGGGGGUAGGUAGGGAUAAGUAGGGAUACUUCACAGCAUCUAUUUUACAGAAGAGGAUUAAAUACUCCUAAAUAAGCAAAUACCAGAAAUGAUGUAUUUAUUGGUCUCAGUUUCACAGAGUUUACACCCCAUAGGAACCCAUAUGAACAAACCCAAUUUACAACAAAGUUCAUAGCUUAGCUAAACUGCAACUCUUCAAAGUGUGGCAUUAUUACAAUUGUAAAAUAGCCACAAAAAUAGCCAUAAAUUCGAACAAUUCUACACUAAAAGCUUUUUAAAACUUCUUUAAAAAAUCUUUUUCAAACCUUACAGAAAAAAAUAAAUAAAUUAAAACAAAAUAAAUAAUAAUAAUA
ensembl:lncRNA